rnacentral:tRNA from 1 species
GCCGGUGUGUUGGAAUUGGCAGACGAGACGGACUCAAAAUCCGUUGGUAGCAAUACCGUGUGGGUUCGACCCCCACCACCGGCACCA